GAUUUCUGGCUUGAAACAUUUUGCCGGCCACGGUUUCGUGUGUUAGUGCUUGGUGUUCUGGCCAUCCUUCCAAUCGCUAUUUGUCUUUCUUCAUUGAAUGGUCCGUAGUAUUGGAUCUUUUACUUUGAAAAAAUUAGAGUGUUUCAAGCAGGCUUUAUGCUAUGAAUACAUUAGCAUGGAAUAAUAAUUUAGGACUUCGGUUCUAUUUUGUUGGUUUCUAGGACUGAAGUAAUGAUUGAUAGGGAUAGUUGGGGGUGCUAGUAUUCAGCGGCCAGAGGUGAAAUUCUUGGAUUCGCUGAAGACUAACUUAUGCGAAAGCAUU
rnacentral:rRNA from 1 species